rnacentral:rRNA from 1 species
UGGAGCGAAUCCCAAAAGGACGUCUCAGUUCGGAUUGCAGGCUGCAACCCGCCUGCAUGAAGUCGGAAUUGCUAGUAAUCGCGGAUCAGCAUGCCGCGGUGAAUACGUUCCCGGGCCUUGUACACACCGCCCGUCACACCAUGAGAGUCGGGAACACCCGAAGUCCGUAGUCUAACCGCAAGGAGGACGCAGUCGAAGGUGGGAUUGAUGACUGGGGUGAAGUCGUAACAAGGUACC